rnacentral:ncRNA from 1 species
ACAAUGGAGAGUUUGAUCCUGGCUCAGGAUGAACGCUAGCGGGAGGCCUAACACAUGCAAGCCGAGCGGUAGAGAUUCUUCGGAAUCUUGAGAGCGGCGCACGGGUGCGGAACACGUGUGCAACCUGCCUUUAUCUGGGGGAUAGCCUUUCGAAAGGAAGAUUAAUACCCCAUAAUAUAUUGAGUGGCAUCACUUGAUAUUGAAAACUCCGGUGGAUAGAGAUGGGCACGCGCAAGAUUAGAUAGUUGGUGAGGUAACGGCUCACCAAGUCAAUGA